rnacentral:lncRNA from 1 species
CUCCAUUCUGAACUGUUUAGUGGGACUCCUAAAAGUGCAGGAAGAAGCCUGCCUACCAUAUUAUAGGCAUGGAAGGCCUGUCUGUGGCAAAGUUUGAUGGUGAAACCUCCAUUCCUCUCCCUUCCUCACCCACUACCGUGAUUCUUUUUUGGCAACUCCAGGUGAUCCUUCCAGAAUACAUGGUGAAUCUGCUCUCUUCCUCCCCACUGCUCUUUUCUGUUGUUUGCAUCCACUUAUGCUCUCUCUCUAAUCUGUACUCACAGAAGCCAGAGUGAUCUUCUUAAAAUGUAACUCAGGUCACCUUACUCGGAGGCUUAACACCCUCAAAGAGCUUUGCGUUGUACUUAGAAUAAAAUCCAGACCCCCUAAAUUGGAAUAUGAGGCCUGCAGGAUCUGACUGGCCACCUCUCUCACCCUCUCUUGCUCUGCUCUCCACUUACACCAGACAGUUGUUAAUACAUGCCAAACUCAUUCCUGUCUUGGAGACUUGGCACAUGGCAUCCCCCUGCCUAUAGCAGCAAGAGCCUUCCAGGCAGGGGGAGCAGCCAGGGCAGAUGAUCUAAGGCAGGACCCAGCUUGCCUUGUCUCAGGAUUGGCAAGAAGGAAGGCCAGGGUGUCUGGAUCACCCAGGGCCGUGAGGACCAUGGUAAGGAGGUCGAUUUUCCUCUAGGUGCCAUGGAGGGUCCUGCAGCAGGGUCUGCACCACCACAUGGUAUGGGGCUCUGGUUGCAAGGUCUCUUAAGGAGCUAGAAAGACCAUCUGCAAAGUCUACAGAGGCUAUUAAAAAUGGACAGUUUCCUUUUGCUUAAUAUUUUAGCUCUGAGGUACUUGAACUUCAUUCUAGCUUUCGUGUCAUGUAAACGUUUUUGAGGAAAGCUUACAGGUCAGAUGGCAUGGCAGGCAGACAAGACUGCAAUCCCAAUUCCUGGGAUGUCUCGGGGGACUUGAGGGAGGAUCUGACCUCACUGAAGACCUGGAAUAACAGGAGCCCCCAUCUAUCUGUGCAGAGAAGGUGCUUAAGGCAAAGAAAUGGAUUUGAUAAGUUGACAAGUUUCUUCUUAAUGUCUCUGAUAGGCUGGGAAAUGAAGAUGGGGGAGGAAGAAAAGUGACAAGAAGAGGGCAGAGGCCAAGGUCAAGCUCUUCAGGUGGCCCUGCAGUUCCACCUUGGAACUGAAGAAUCAAAUUGGAGGAAGGAGUAGCAAGAGGCAGGAGAGAGACACCUGCUUGUCAUCUGGAGGGAGGUUCCUAGUGCAGGGCUGUGACUAGUGAUUAUCAUAUGUUGGGCUAGAAUUGAAAACCACUCCAUUUUCCUUAAGAAGCCUUUGAAAAUCAGUCACACUUGGACCUCUGUGGUCAAUGAGUGUUCUUCAAAUCAGAACCUUUGGGGGUUAUCAAUACGUGCUUCACAAGUGUUUGCAGGAGUUGAGAGCCACCUUCAGAGUGUGUGUGAGCCACAUGAGCAACU